rnacentral:rRNA from 1 species
UACAGAGGUCCCGAGCGUUGUUCGGAUUCACUGGGCGUAAAGGGUGCGCAGGUGGCUUGACAAGUUUGAUGUGAAAUCUCCGGGCCCAACCCGGAAAAUGCAUUGAAUACUGUUGAGCUUGAGGUUUGGAGGGGGGACUGGAAUUCUCGGUGUAGCAGUGAAAUGCGCAGAUAUCGAGAGGAACACCAGUGGCGAAGGCGAGUCCCUGGACAACACCUGACACUGAGGCACGAAAGCCGGGGGAGCGAACAGG